rnacentral:lncRNA from 1 species
CGCAGAACAACUGGGACCUGGGCGCGCCCGCGGUGAGCGCCUACUGCGCGACCUGGGACGCCAGCAAGCCGCUGUCGUGGCGGUCCAAGUACGGGUGGACGGCGUUCUGCGGCCCCGCCGGCGCCCACGGGCAGGCGGCGUGCGGCAAGUGCCUCCGGGUGACGAACCCGGCGACGGGGGCGCAGAUCACGGCGAGGAUCGUCGACCAGUGCGCCAACGGCGGGCUGGACCUGGACUGGGACACCGUCUUCACCAAGAUCGACACCAACGGGAUCGGGUACCAGCAGGGCCACCUCAACGUCAACUACCAGUUCGUCGACUGCCGCGACUAGAUUAUGUAUCCGUCGAUCAAAGGCUAGCUUGCUAUGAUAAGAAUAAGAGGCUAGCUUAGCUACGAGUGAGCUCAGACUGGUCGAUGCUGUUGAAUAAAAGCUAGCACGUGAUGCUGCAUUGUAUACGUGUAUACAAUACGUACAUGGAAUGAAAUAAAGUGGAUCAAAUCAAACGGGUUAUAUAUUCAUGUGUGGAUUUU